rnacentral:rRNA from 1 species
UGGGGAAUAUUGGACAAUGGGCGAAAGCCUGAUCCAGCAAUGCCGCGUGAGUGAAGAAGGCCUUCGGGUUGUAAAGCUCUUUUACCCGGGAAGAUAAUGACUGUACCGGGAGAAUAAGCCCCAGCUAACUCCAUACCAACAACCACAAUAAUACAAAAAAAACUAACAUUGUUCAAAAUUACUGGGCGUAAAGCGUACGUAGGCGGCUUUGUAAGUCAGAGGUGAAAGCCCACGACUCAAUCGUGGAACUGCCUUUGAGACUGCUUCGCUUGAAGAUGGGAGAGGUUAGUGGAAUUCCGAGUGUAGAGGUGAAAUUCGUAGAUAUUCGGAAGAACACCAGUGGCGAAGGCGGCUAACUGGACCAUUCUUGACGCUGAGGUACGAAAGCGUGGGGAGCAAACAGG